GGAUGAGCUCGCGGCCUAUCAGCUUGUUGGUGAGGUAAUGGCUCACCAAGGCGACGUGGGGUAGCCGUCCUGAGAGGGUGACCGGCCACACUGGGACUGAGACACGGCCCAGACUCCUACGGGAGGCAGCAGUGGCGAAUAUUGCACAAUGGGCGCAAGCCUGAUGCAGCAACGCCGCGUGGGGGACGAAGGCCUUCGGGUUGUAAUGCCCUUUUAGCAGGGAAGA
rnacentral:rRNA from 1 species